AUUUAUAUAGUUUAAUUUAUAAAACUUUACAUUUUCAUUGUAAAAAAAAGAAUUAAUUUCUUUAUAAAUG
rnacentral:tRNA from 1 species